rnacentral:rRNA from 1 species
UGGGGAAUUUUGCACAAUGGGGGAAACCCUGAUGCAGCGACGCCGCGUGAUUUAGAAGGCCUUCGGGUUGUAAAAAUCUUUUCUAUGGGAAGAAAAUGACAGUACCAUAGGAAUAAGGACCGGCUAAUUACGUGCCAGCAGCCGCGGUAAUACGUAUGGACCGAGCGUUGUCCGGAAUCAUUGGGCGUAAAGGGUACGUAGGCGGCCCAGUAAGUUAGAAGUGAAAUAAUAUAGCUCAACUAUAUAAAGCUUUUAAAACUGCUAGGCUUGAGAGAUGGAAGGGAAAGUGGAAUUCCUAGUGUAGCGGUGAAAUGCGCAGAUAUUAGGAAGAAUACCGGUGGCGAAGGCGACUUUCUGGUCAUCAUCUGACGCUGAGGUACGAAAGCGUGGGUAGCAAACAGG